AGACAGGAGAGAAAACAAACACCCAUCAGUGUGGAAAACUCGAACAUGAACAGAGGGUUUUCUUAAGAGAGCCUUUUUUGCUCCAUCCUCCUUGCCUGCAUUUUCUCAACUGCACAGAGACAGAAACCAUGCACCCAUAAAACACCCCUCUGCUCAUUUUGUGAUCUUGGUAUAUGUCUUUGAUAGGCACGCAAACACGUGCUCCAAAAGAAACAGAAAAGUGACUUCUGCGCUUGCUUCCCAUUGGAGAGUAAAGGAAAGAAAUAUUUUGUUACAAGAAAGAAUUUCUUAAAUUGUGUAUUCUAGCUGGAGGAGACAGGCUAGUUGAAACCUUAGGGGAUUCCGUGAGGCUAUUGCUUGCUCAGAAACAAUUCUUCGGAAUUUUGCAAUGCAGUGACCCUGAUAUUUCAAGUGACCUUGACGUCCUGCCAUUGGGGAGGCCUUUAGUUAAUAAUUUACUGAUUCUCUAGCUUUGUGUGGGCACUGCUGGGCUGGAAAAGGCAGUUCUUGUUUUCGAUCUAGUUAGGGAGAUAAGAUAAGGACACAGAAAACCAUGUGAGGCAGAGGAAAAUGAAAUGACCUAUCUGUUGUGAGGUAUUUAACAGAGGCUGAACCCCUUCCACUCUGGAAAAUAUUCUCAUUCAUUUAAGAAAGGAAAGCAUUUCCAGUGGAAAUCUAGUAUCUGAAUUAUGUUUGAUGAGGACAUAGAACCAAAGAUUUGUUCACUGCGGAAAGGAGAGAACUCCCAAAGACAAUGCUGGAGAGCUCACCCUGGUGGUGAGGACAAGGGAGAGCUGGCGGGCUGACCAACCCUGCAACUACUCAGGCCCAGAACAAGAAUUAUGUGUUGGUUCAGCCCAACAUCCGUUCCAUCUGUGAUCUGCUGGAGCACAGAAAGGAACCAGUUCUUCAGACCCAGAGUUACAGGAUCUCCACAUCACAGGGCAUCAGCAAGAUAACCAGUGAGGGCCCAGCAUCGACAGUGUAGCAGAAACCAGAAGCCUCAAACCAGACCAGUGACUCUCUCCAUUGGACACUUGCAAGAAAAGAUAUAUGGAGCUAAUCAAGACGUCACUGACUCAGGCUCUGCAGUUUCUUCUAUGCUUCAUCAACCGCUAGCUCACGUGUUCCACAAGCCUUUGAGAAACAAUGCGGAGAAGAUGGUCUGCACCAGUUCUCACCUGCCUUGGGCCAAGGUCUAGGUGUUGGUAAGGAAGCUAAAGAGGCCUCUAGGACUUCAAAAGAUUCACAUGAAGUCUGGAACUAAGAUGAUGGAAAACUAAGAUCUUAACUGUGCAGAAGAUAGGAGAAAGGUAGACCGUGCAUGUUGCACCUAAAGAACCGAGGAGGGCUCCUUACACUGACCUCAGAGAAUGAAUGAAAUAUUCAAGGUAGAGACAGCACCGGGAUAAGGGUUAGAAUGACUUCCAAAGGCGAAAAAUAGACGUAGUCAUACUAGAAUUAGACUAUUCCAGGAAGUGGCUCCACCAAAACAAAUGGCUGUUCACUGUAGGGAAUCCCGAGGGGCCAGGAGUUGGGGGAUUCAGUUUAUUAGCGACAGGAGUACUGAGAAGAGGUGGGGAAUAAGGUCAGCCUAUGUGAGAGCAACACAAGGCUAGAGACAGCAAACUAGUAAGUACCUACCCACUUGACACUCUAAUUCCAUUUUUAAAAUGAUAAACCUACUAUGUGAACACAGAAAGGCUAGCAUGGGAAACAUUUUAUCUUUCAAACACCUGAACAAGUGAAAAUGCAGGCUGCAAGGUAUUAUGCAGAAUAUGACUUCACUGCAAAAGCAACAAUGGUGGUGGACGAGUUUAUAAAACUACAUUCCUGGGAGGUAAAACACAGGAAAUGUUUCCAGUGGGGGGUGGGGGUGAAUAUGUGCUUUUUAUUAACCUGUGGUUUCUUUGGUGUUUCUUUGAACAAGCAUUUUUUUUAAAUCAUAGUUUUAAAGGUGUUUCUCUUCUGGUCUGAUAUUUAAAAAAGAAAACAAACAAAAACACAUCUAUUCAGCAGAAUCCUACAUAGUCAUUAAAACCCAGGAGGUAGAAUUAAGGUAUGAAUCUAGGAGGAAGUGCAAAACAAAGUAAGGGUCAGGCCAGGGUGUGGAAUAGGGCUCAUCUAAUGAGCACAUUUGUGCCCCCUUUAAAGACUACGAACAUUUAAGCACAUAUACGUCCGGAGAUUUUCUAGAAAAACACUGAUUAUUAUCACAGCGCAGAUGAGGCUAUGUCGGGAGGUAUUCCCCUGAGCUAUCUGUGUGGCUUCCAGAUCUCAACCUUAUUUGUUUGCUUAAAUAACACCAAAUUAGCUUAGGUUUCAAUAAAAACAAAAUGAAAGCAGAUUCCCUUCAUCUUUUCCUUGUUCUGCUCUACAAGCUGAAGGCAGGAAAGAAUCCCAUGGGCCAUUCGCCUAUGCUCUGAUCUGGCUGUGUUUACACGCUUCACCUUGAGAUGUCAGGUGGCCCCGAGGACACUUGGGCUCCAUGAAUUCCCCUCUGAAUGGACAGAUGUGGCCUGAGUGGUCAAACUGGAGUCUACAAUUAUCGGGUGGCUGCAGGGGCUCUUAUUACACCAAACCUUCCCCUACCCGUUUUUCAAUUAUCUAUGACUAAUGAGCACUCUGGGAACAGUUUCAGACACACACAUAAUCCUCUUUCCUGAUGUCAGCAGCAGAAAUUAAUGACUAUGUGGAUUGCUGGGAGACAGAAGAUGCAUUAUAAUGGUCAACAGAACUGUUACCCUCUCCAGGAAGGGGGGAGGGUGUUGAAUUAACUGGAAGGU